rnacentral:lncRNA from 1 species
CUCUGUGGGAGGACCUCGGUCCCCGUCCCUCGGGUCCAUGGGGCCCGGCGCAGCCGCCCCACAUGGCACACCCUUUGUCUUUGCAGGAGAAGCAUCUCGUUGCCCAGCUGGAAGAGCAGCUGCAGGCUGAGACAGAGGAGAUGGAGGUAGCGUGGAGGGGCGAGGGGAUGGGGGCUGCCCGCCCCCGCGUGGGGACCUGGAGGACGUCUGCAGCAGGCACGGGCACUCACGCUUUUGUCUGCCAGGUGCUGCGCCAGGAAAAAGAGCGCCUGCAACAGGAGCGGGAGGAGCUGGAGUUGAAGAGAGCCUGGUGAGUGGGACUGGGCCUCUGCAGCACCCGGGGCGGCAACGGGACUGCAGUGCAGCUGGGCUUGGGGCUUGGGUUUCAGUUCGGGCACAUGGUGUGCACGGGGGUGGGCACGCACUGCUGGGGAGCCCGUGUGCUGACAGAGGCCGGCACCCUCCAAGCAGGCCUUGUUCCCUACAGGCAGCAGCAUCAACAGCAGCUGGAGGCAGCCCACGUGCCUGGGGCUGUGCUGCCGGAGCUGGUGGAGGCAGAGCUGGUAAGGGGCAGAGCCCAGCGCACCCUCACCCCAUCCGACAAGGGUGUCCUCGGGGACAGGGCUUCCUGCAGCGCUGGGUCUGUGCUGCUGCGCUGCCGGGCUGCCACUGUCCUGCACGAGCCCCGGCUGUGCAGCAGGGCCUGACCAGCGCCCCUGCCCCGUCUUCACCUACAGGAGAAGGCUGAGCAGGCGAGGAGACGUGGGCUUGUCUUCUGGAUGAGGUGAGUAUCCCCCAUUGCCCUGUGCC